CUCGGCAGCUGGUACAGGACGAGAACGUGCGCGGGGUGAUCACCAUGAACGAGGAGUACGAGACAAGGUUCCUGUGCAACUCUUCACAGGAGUGGAAGAGACUAGGAGUCGAGCAGCUGCGGCUCAGCACAGUAGACAUGACUGGGAUUCCCACCUUGGACAACCUCCAGAAGGGAGUCCAGUUUGCUCUCAAGUACCAGUCGCUGGGCCAGUGUGUCUACGUGCAUUGUAAGGCUGGGCGCUCCAGGAGUGCCACUAUGGUGGCAGCAUACCUGAUUCAGGUGCACAAAUGGAGUCCAGAGGAGGCUGUAAGAGCCAUCGCCAAGAUCCGGUCAUACAUCCACAUCAAGCCUGGCCAGCUGGAUGUUCUUAAAGAGUUCCACAAGCAGAUUACUGCAGGGGCAGCAAAGGAUGGGACUUUCGACAUUUCAAAGACAUGAUGUAUGUGGAUUAGAAAGAACUCAAGACACUCCUGCUUGAUACAGAAUAAAAAAAGCUUAACAGGACCAACAGGGCUUAAGCCCAGACUUGACGUAACAGAAAUGUGCCAAUAGGUAAUAGGUAAUUUUUCUUUCUCUGACUUGUUUUGUUUUCUUGAAAUAACACUGUUGUGUGGCUAGAAAGGAAAAGAUUUAGUGUGGCUUGUAUUCAUGGGAUACAGGACAGGGAUGGGGCUAUCGUCUUUUCUUGAAUAGGGCUAAAGAAGUAUUUUAACAAAAAUCUAUUAUGUACCUAAUAUUGUGCCUAAUAAUAUUUAGCACCACAACUCAAAAAACAUUUAGCACUUGAAAAAAGGAGACUCAGCUCUGGCUCUUUGCCACUGUCAUAAUCUGAGUCUCACUGGCCCUGUGGAGUAGGGAUCCUAUCUGGAGAAGUUCAAAGUCACCCUUUCAGAAUUCAACACAGACACACAUAUCCCUUCAAAAACUUUUAUUUGUAUCAACAGUUCCUAGCUCUUGACUUAGCUUAGAGCUUUUAAAAGAGCAGACACCUUAUAUAUUUGAGCUUGAAAAAGUUUCUGCUAUUAAUCAGAAAUAAUUAUUUCUAUUUUCUGGCUUACCCCUUGGAAUAAGCCAAAAACAAAACCAAAGUUACAUUUCCUGACAGAUGGAUAAGAAAACAAUAGAAGGAACAUCCUGAAUUCUAGAGUUGACUCUUGCUGGUGAAGUACACCUUCAGCUUAGUCCAUUCUCCUAAGUAAAGCCUGAAGGAAAACUCUUAACACCUAAUUCUUUGUGGAAAAACGAUCAACUAGCCAUUUGACAGGCUAUAGAACAAAAGUACAAUUGGGCAUCUUUCCUUAUGUCCUGGGAUCAGGGGUGCUUACAUUUAACAUUGAUCAGGUAAAGGGGAGAGGCUGUGCCUAAGGUCUGAGAAAAGGCUUGCUCUAAGCAAGCUGUGGUGAGGCACAGGAUGACUAGGGGAUGGCAGAGAACAGGCUGGCCUACUGUCAGUUCAAGCAACCAGCUGAGCAGCAGCAGUCUAAAAAGCCCCAAACAGAACACCUCCAUGGGUUCAGGGAAGGGCUGAGGCACUGCCUUUCUAGUAUAUGCCAAAAAAAACAUAACUCUGAAUUGGGGCCCAGGGGACUUUUGAGUUUGUGUGGGGAGGGAAAAGGAGUGAGCAGCUCUCCUCCCCUCCCCACAGCCUUAGGCCAACACAAACUGCAAAUUGGUAAGCAGCACCUUAAUACCUCUUGUGACAGUUACGGCUGAAGUGGCAGGGUCAAGCUUGUAGGUGUUGGCAUCCCCCUUUUUAUAUCGGUCCCGGAAGACAUAGAUGCUCCCGUUACAGCUGGCAAUCUUCCAGAGGGAUGGGGCAGAGCUCCAGGCCUCAGGAAGGCAAAGCCGGGUGAAACUGUCUAGCAAGGGAUUGUAGCACACCAGGGAGUCCCCUUCAGCCACGAUGAACACCAGAUCUUUAUGCACAGCUGCGUGCAUGCGGCCUGCAAAGGGCAGCACAUAGGGCUUCACAUGGCAUUUGUCUGUCUCUGUGUCAAAGCAUUGGAUGAGUCGGGAAGGUUUGGUAAAGAAGUCCAGAUCAUUCUCCUCCCCCCCUAGUAAGUAGAUGAUCCCAUUGAGGUUGGCACCAGCAGCCCCUGACACAGCCACCUCUAGCUGGGUUGUCUCUGUCCACACAUUAUCACCUACGCGAUAAUAAAUGACUGCGUUGGAGAGGGUA
rnacentral:sRNA from 1 species